rnacentral:rRNA from 1 species
UACGUAGGGGGGCAAGCGUUGUCCGGAAUCAUUGGGCGUAAAGAGCGUGUAGGCGGCCCGGUAAGUCCGCUGUGAAAGUCCAGGGCUCAACCCUGGGAUGCCGGUGGAUACUGUCAGGCUCGAGUCCGGAAGAGGAGUGUGGAAUUCCUGGUGUAGCGGUGAAAUGCGCAGAUAUCAGGAGGAACACCAAUGGCGAAGGCAGCACUCUGGGACGUGACUGACGCUGAGACGCGAAAGCGUGGGGAGCAAACAGG